rnacentral:lncRNA from 1 species
UUCGUCUUUAGAGGGAAAGAUCUAACAUGGUGCCCUUUAACUUUGCACUUGAAGCAAAUGAUUUUGGCCGAAUUCUUGACUUGUUCUAGGCCCCUCUUGUUCUUGUUUGAGUUUACUCCAACAUCAUUUUUGUCAUUCGGAGAUGUUUGCUCACACAGGACGUUGUUGAGUGUGGACAUCCCUUCAUGACACUGUUCCAAGUCUUUCUUCAAAGAAGUGACUUGGGCCUUGAGCUCUUCGAUUUCCUCUGCACGGUUAGUAUCAAUGCAAGUACUAGAGGAAGUGUAAGCUUCAAUGUUAGAGCAACAAGGUAAGGAAAGUAAUUCAUCACACGAGGUAGCAACAUUAUGAGUAGACGAAUUAUGAGGACUAGCACAUGGAAAUAUAGUACUUUGACUAGAAGUAGUGCCAUUUUCCACAUGAGGCUCACUUGAUGUUACCUUGGUAAUGAUAGCCUCAUGAGCUACCUUUUGCAC